UACGAAGGGGGCUAGCGUUGUUCGGAUUUACUGGGCGUAAAGGGCGCGUAGGCGGCCAGCACAAGUCAGUUGUGAAAUCUCCGAGCUUAACUCGGAAAGGUCAACUGAUACUGUGCGGCUAGAGUGCGGAAGGGGCAACUGGAAUUCUUGGUGUAGCGGUGAAAUGCGUAGAUAUCAAGAGGAACACCUGCGGCGAAAGCGGCUCGCUGGAUCACAACUGACGCUGAGGGACGAAAGCUAGGGGAGCAAACAGG
rnacentral:rRNA from 1 species